UGGCCCAGAUCGUUUACCGUGAAAAAAUUAGAGUGUUCAAAGCAGGCAGAUUCAAUUUUCUGCCACCGAAUACAUUAGCAUGGGAUAAUGGAAUAGGACCCUGUCCUCCUAUUUUCAGUUGGUUUUGGCAGCGCGAGGACUAGGGUAAUGAUUAAUAGGGAUAGUUGGGGGCAUUAAUAUUUAAUUGUCAGAGGUGAAAUUCUUGGAUUUAUGAAAGAUUAACUUCUGCGAAAGCAUCUGCCAAGGAUGUUUUCAUUAAUCAAGAACGAAAGUUAGGGGAUCGAAGACGAUCAGAUACCGUCGUAGUCUUAACCAUAAACGAUGCCGACCAGCGAUUAGGAGACGUUGAAUACAAAACACCACCAUCGGCGCGGUCGUCCUUGGCUUUCGUGUUCACGCACGGGCGCGAGGGCGGCUUAGCCCGGUGGCACCGGUGAAUGACUCCUAGCAGCUUGUGAGAA
rnacentral:rRNA from 1 species